AGCAGCCGCGGUAAUUCCAGCUCCAAUAGCGUAUAUUAAAGUUGCUGCAGUUAAAAAGCUCGUAGUUGAAUUUCGGGACCAAUAUGUCGGUCGUGCCUCGGUACGUACUGGCAUCGUUGGUUUCUCCCUUCUGACGAACCAUGAUGUCAUUUAUUUGGUGUCGUGGGGAAUCAGGACUAGUUACUUUGAAAAAUUAGAGUGUUUAAAGCAGGCUCACGCUUGAAUACAUUAGCAUGGAAUAAUCGAAAUUAGGACGUUUUGAUUCUAUUUUGUUGGUUUCUAGGAUCGACGUAAUGGAUUAAUAGGGAUAGUUGGGGGCAUUAGUAUUCAAUUGUCAGAGGUGAAAUUCUUGGAUUUAUUGAAGACUAACUACUGCGAAAGCAUUUGCCAAGGAUGUUUUCAUUAAUCAAGACGAAAGUUAGGGGAUCGAAGACGAUCAGAUAUCGUCGUAGUCUUAACCAUAAACUAUGCCGACUAGGAUCGGAUGAUGUUUAAUUUUUAAGUGUACUCA
rnacentral:rRNA from 1 species